rnacentral:tRNA from 1 species
GCAUCUGGAUAGCACAGCUGGUUAGAGCAUGGCGCUGAUAACGCCAAGGCUGCAGGUUUGAUCCCCAUAAGGAGCA